UACGGAGGGUGCGAGCGUUGUUCGGAAUCAUUGGGCGUAAAGCGCGCGCAGGCGGUCUGGGAAGUCUAUGGGUGAAAUGCCGGGGCUCAACUCCGUGCGUGCCCAGGAUACUCCCAGGCUGGAGACAUGUAGAGGCGAGCGGAAUUCCGGGUGUAGCGGUGGAAUGCGUAGAGAUCCGGAAGAACACCAGAGGCGAAGGCGGCUCGCUGGGCAUGAUCUGACGCUGAGGCGCGAAAGCGUGGGGAGCGAACAGGAUUAGAAACCCCCGUAGUCC
rnacentral:rRNA from 1 species